GGCAAAAGCGACAGUUUGUUGACCACAGUCCAUCGAGGGUUAACCACUCUGCUAGUGACAUUUAUCCUCUCGUAGUACUACAUCCAUACGAGCAGUUGGUUGGGAGUUCAGCUUGCGGCAUCACUCGCUUCCCCAGUCGGAAGACGCAGUAGCGUUCCGUUCUCCAGAUCUGAUGGGGAAAAAAUAUACUUAGGUCACGAUCAGGAGGAUAACAAUGACUUAAUAACACCAGCCCAAAAGAAAAGACUGUUGAAUAAGUGAAUCCGUUUGCCUGAUAAGAACGCAUCGCAAGCAUACUUUUUUCAUGUAAACAUGUACAAUGAUGGAGACGGGAUUAAUGUCCAUAGGAUCCCCAGCAACUACUUCCAGCCUCCUAAAUUGACACAGCGAUUCACACACCCUACCUCUUAAUGGUACUGCCGCAACAGGUUCAGCUGAAGAGGUAUGCCGGUUUGAUGAUGGGCUGAUGGUCCAGGACCUCGGAUGGAUCCACACACAUCCAGCAUGGCAGACCCCUGUGCACAUCCAAAGUCAUGUUUCAGCAAAAACCAAACAUACAAUAAUUCAGAUUGGAAAUAUGGAUCCAUCGCACCUCCACCGACCUGCGCCAGGCCAUAGCCCAUAUAAUCCAUAAAUUCCCAAAAUCUGAAGUCUGGACGGCGAGAGAAUAUCCAAAGUUUGCCAAUAAGGAUGCAAUUU
rnacentral:lncRNA from 1 species